rfam:Fusarium poae strain 2516 chromosome FPOA_1 Chr1, whole genome shotgun sequence.
GACAACGUAGCCAAGUGGUUACGGCGUCUGCCUCGAAGCAAUUCAAGAAAGCAGAUCCCUUCGGGGGCGUAGGUUCGAAUCCUGCCGUUGUCG